GGUGAAAAGCACUUCGAACAGAAGAGUGAAAUAGUCCCUGAACCCAUACGCCUACAAGCUGUCGGAGCCGCUUCGUGCGGUGACGGCGUGCCUUUUGCAUAAUGAGCCUACGAGUUACUCAUCACCAGCGAGGUUAAGUACUUCAGGUACGUAAGCCGAAGCGAAAGCGAGUCUGAAUAGGGCGUCAAGUUGGUGGUGGUAGACGCGAAACCUUAGUGAUCUACCCAUGGGCAGGGUGAAGGUUUGGUAACACAAACUGGAGGCCCGAACCGGUAAACGUUGAAAAGUUUUCGGAUGACCUGUGGGUAGGGGUGAAAGGCCAAUCAAACUGGGAAAUAGCUCGUACUCUCCGAAAUGCAUUUAGGUGCAGCCUCUGUUGUUUUGUUCUAGAGGUAGAGCUACUGAUUGGAUGCGAGGGCUUCACCGCCUAUCAAAUCCGGCCAAACUCCGAAUGCUAGAACAUGAAGACAGGGAGUGAGCCAGCGGGUGCUAAGGUCCGUUGACGAAAGAGGGAGAACUCAGACCAUCAGCUAAGGUCCCCAAUUAUAUGCUAAGUUGGAAUAAAAACGGGGUGGGACUGCUUAGACAGCUAGGAUGUUGGCUUGGAAGCAGCCAUUCAUUUAAAGAGUGCGUAACAGCUCACUAGUCGAGCGGUCCUGCAUGGAUAAUACGCGGGCAUAAGCAUAUAACCGAAGCUAUGGGAUUGUAGAUGAUACAAUCGGUAGGAGAGCAUUCCAUUCAGCAUAGAAGCAGUACCGUGAGGUAUUGUGGAGCGGAUGGAAAAGCAAAUGUAGGCAUAAGUAACGAUAAUGCGGGUGAGAACCCCGCACGCCGAAAGAUCAAGGAUUCCCCGGCAAUGUCAAUCAUCCGGGGGUAAGUCGGAUCCUAAGGGUAAGCCGAGUGGCGAUCCCGAUGGCAAACAGGUUAAUAUUCCUGUACUGAUCAUAACUGCGAUGCAGCGACGCAGAGGUGACACUGCUGCGUACUGACGGAAUAGUACGUUGAAACCCGUAUUCUUUGAUACCGGUAGUGAAGCACGCCGGUAGAGAUGAAAGGUGAUAGUACCGCAAUGCUUCGGUUGCGCGGAUAAUGCAGGUAAGCUGACUGCCAAGAAAACCUGCUAAGCUUCAGGUAAUGAUCAUCCGUACUGUAAACGGACACACGUGAUCAGGUAGAAAAUACUAAGGCGCUCGAGAGAUUCAUGGUUAAGGAACUAGGCAAAAUGGUCCUGUAACUUCGGGAUAAAGGACGCUCUUGUGAAAGAGCCGCAGAUAAUAGGCCCAGGCGACUGUUUACCAAAAACACAUGGCUAUGCUAAUUCGCAAGAAGAUGUAUAUGGCCUGACACCUGCCCGGUGCCGGAAGGUUAAGAGGAGAGCUCAGAGGUAACUCGAAGGUUUGAAUUGAAGCCCCGGUAAACGGCGGCCGUAACUAUAACGGUCCUAAGGUAGCGAAAUUCCUUGUCGGGUAAGUUCCGACCUGCACGAAUGGUGUAACGAUCUGGGUACUGUCUCAACCAUGAGCUCGGUGAAAUUGUAGUUCCGGUGAAGAUGCCGGAUACCCGCAACGGGACGGAAAGACCCCGUGAACCUUUACUGCAGCUUUGCAUUGAUUUUGGGUAACAGAUGUGUAGGAUAGGUCGGAGGCUUUGAUGCUGCGUCGUCAGGCGUAGAGUAGCCGUCGUUGAAAUACGACCCUUUUGUUAUCUGAGGUCUAAUCCCGUUAGGGAGACAUUGCAUGGUGGGUAGUUUGACUGGGGUGGUCGCCUCCAAAAGUGUAACGGAGGCUUCUCAAGGUACCCUCAAGGCGUUUGGUAAUCGUCUGCAGAGUGCAAUGGCAUAAGGGUGCUUGACUGUGAGACCGACACGUCGAUCAGGUUGGAAACAAGAGCAUAGUGAUCCGGUGGUUCCGCAUGGAAGGGCCAUCGCU
rnacentral:rRNA from 1 species